UACGUAGGUGACAAGCGUUGUCCGGAUUUACUGGGCGUAAAGAGCGCGCAAGCGGUCGAUCAAGUCGAGUGUGAAAGCCCCCGGCUCAACUGGGGAGGGUCAUUCGAUACUGAUCGACUCGAAGGCAGGAGAGGGUAGUGGAAUUCCCGGUGUAGUGGUGAAAUGCGUUGAUAUCGAUAGGAACUCCGGUGGCGAAGGCGGCAUACUGGUCCACUUCUGACGCUGAGGCGCGAAAGCCAGGGGAGCAAACGGG
rnacentral:rRNA from 1 species